GGGGCCGAAACAGGAUCGACGGACGGGUAAAGGGGAUGGCUUUCGCCGGGGUGAGGCCCCUUACAGGCUCAUUUUCAGAGUUGCCAACGACAACUUUGCUGAAGAGGUCGCUCUCGCUGCGUAGUCAGCGCGGGUAAUCUCGCACUAAACUCCUAUUCCCUUUAGCCGGAAUAGGCGGGGCCCGGAGGCGCCUGGCAACAGAAGCCUCCACU
rnacentral:tmRNA from 1 species